UUGCUUUUGCAGCACAUAUACUAAAAAUGGAAUGAUACAGAGAAGAUUAGCAUGGUCCCUGUGCAAGGAUGACCCACAAAUUCACGAAGUAUUCCUAUCUGGA